AGAUAUGUGAAUCAAUUUUGUUGAAGCGAAUAGUAACGCUGUUGAAUUUUGAACAGAGAUGUCAAUCCUGGCAUCAAAUGCAGUUGUGCGAACAGCUUUUCGGAGUACCUCUACUAACUGCUCAGAAGAAGAGGAACUGCAUUAUGUGCAUUCAGUUGUUGCAACCCGCUCAUCCGCAUGCUAUCACACUCAGACGCCAUUUGAUGUUAUCGUAAGAAAAACGGACAUGACUGCGGCGAUGUGCGACGAAACGCUUCGUUUGUUCUGCGAAGCGUUUGGCAAACAUUCUUCGUGCAACGAAUCCGUGUCACGCGUUGUUAAAGAGGCCUUAGAUAAAAAGUUCGGCUCUUCCUGGCAUGUCGUAAUAGGAGAGGACUUUGGGCUGGAAGUUUCCCACGAGAUGCAGCACGUACUUUAUGCCUUCUUCAGACAGGGAACCCUGGGAGCAUGUGCCUGGAAAUGUCCUUGAUAUCUUUGACCUUUACCAAUUGUGACCUUGACAUCAUUGACUUUCACUAGUUGUGACCUUGACCUCACAUUCACACGGUGCUUCAACUUAUCCAUCACAAUGCAAUCGACACAGCAAUGUUUCUAAAUGUUUAAUCAUCAAAGUCUAUCCACCUGGUGCGAUGUGCAAUCAUUUCUACUUACAAAACACAAUUUU